rnacentral:rRNA from 1 species
GACGUAGGGGGCCAGCGUUGUUCGGAAUUACUGGGUGUAAAGGGUUCGUAGGCGGUGCGGCAAGUUGGGAGUGAAAUCUCUGGGCUUAACCCAGAGGCUGCUUCCAAAACUGCUGUGCUUGAGUGUGGGAGAGGCGCGUGGAAUUGCAGGUGUAGCGGUGAAAUGCGUAGAUAUCUGGAGGAACACCGGUGGCGAAGGCGGCAUCCUGGACCACGACUGACGCUGAGUGAGCGAAAGCCAGGGGAGCAAACGGGG